GUCUAUUCGGAGACAUCCAAAAAAUUUGAAUGAUAUAGAAAAAAUUAACGUGUCUCGUGCAUAAGAUGACAUGCAUAAACAGAGAAAUAUACUAUUAUUAA